rnacentral:snoRNA from 1 species
UUGUAUGAUGAGAGAACCUUUAGCUCUAGAUCAGAAGCUGCAUCUUUGCGGCAGUGACUGAUUCACUUGCAUGUAUUAUCUGAUUU